rnacentral:misc_RNA from 1 species
UCCGAGUUGACCCCGGCAGUCUCCUACGAGUCCCCGGCCGAACCGCUGGCAACUGAGGACAGGGGUUGCGCUCGUUGCGCCACUUAAGGCAACACCUCACGGCACGAGCUGACGACAGCCAUGCACCACCUGUGCGGGCUCCGUAGAGCGCCGGCUUUCACCGGCUUUACCCCGCAUGUCAAGCCCAGGUAAGGUUCUUCGCGUCGCGUCGAAUUAAGCCACAUGCUCCGCCGCUUGUGCGGGCCCCCGUCAAUUCCUUUGAGUUUCAGCCCUGCGGCCGUACUCCCCAGGCGGUCAACUUCACGCGUUAGCUUCGUUACCAAGGAAUUGCUUCCCCGACAACCAGUUGACAUAGUUUAGGGCGUGGACUAC